rnacentral:rRNA from 1 species
UGGGGAAUAUUGGACAAUGGGCGCAAGCCUGAUCCAGCCAUGCCGCGUGAGUGAUGAAGGCCCUAGGGUUGUAAAGCUCUUUCACCGGUGAAGAUAAUGACGGUAACCGGAGAAGAAGCCCCGGCUAACUUCGAGCCAGCAGCUGCGGUGAUACGAAGGGGGCUAGCGUUGUUCGGAUUUACUGGGCGUAAAGCGCACGUAGGCGGGAUUUUAAGUCAGGGGUGAAAUCCCGGGGCUCAACCCCGGAACUGCCUUUGAUACUGGAAGUCUUGAGUGUGGUAGAGGUGGGUGGAAUUCCGAGUGUAGAGGUGAAAUUCGUAGAUAUUCGGAGGAACACCAGUGGCGAAGGCGGCUCACUGGACCAUUACUGUCGCUGAGGUGCGAAAGCGUGGGGAGCAAACAGG